rnacentral:tRNA from 1 species
GGGCAAUUAGCUCAGUUGGUUAGAGCGCAUGCCUCACAUGCAUGAGGUCAGGGGUUCGAUUCCCUUAUUGCCCACCA